UGUGAACUCGAAGAGUAGGGCGGGACACGUGGUAUCCUGUCUGAAUAUGGGGGGACCAUCCUCCAAGGCUAAAUACUCCUGACUGACCGAUAGUGAACCAGUACCGUGAGGGAAAGGCGAAAAGAACCCCGGCGAGGGGAGUGAAAAAGAACCUGAAACCGUGUACGUACAAGCAGUGGGAGCACCUUCGGGUGUGACUGCGUACCUUUUGUAUAAUGGGUCAGCGACUUAUAUUCUGUAGCAAGGUUAACCGUAUAGGGGAGCCGCAGGGAAACCGAGUCUUAACUGGGCGUUAAGUUGCAGGGUAUAGACCCGAAACCCGGUGAUCUAGCCAUGGGCAGGUUGAAGGUUGGGUAACACUAACUGGAGGACCGAACCGACUAAUGUUGAAAAAUUAGCGGAUGACUUGUGGCUGGGGGUGAAAGGCCAAUCAAACCGGGAGAUAGCUGGUUCUCCCCGAAAGCUAUUUAGGUAGCGCCUCGUGAACUCAUCUUCGGGGGUAGAGCACUGUUUCGGCUAGGGGGUCAUCCCGACUUACCAACCCGAUGCAAACUACGAAUACCGAAGAAUGUUAUCACGGGAGACACACGGCGGGUGCUAACGUCCGUCGUGAAGAGGGAAACAACCCAGACCGCCAGCUAAGGUCCCAAAGUCAUGGUUAAGUGGGAAACGAUGUGGGAAGGCACAGACAGCCAGGAUGUUGGCUUAGAAGCAGCCAUCAUUUAAAGAAAGCGUAAUAGCUCACUGGUCGAGUCGGCCUGCGCGGAAGAUGUAACGGGGCUAAACCAUGCACCGAAGCUGCGGCAGCGACACUAUGUGUUGUUGGGUAGGGGAGCGUUCUGUAAGCCUGCGAAGGUGUGCUGUGAGGCAUGCUGGAGGUAUCAGAAGUGCGAAUGCUGACAUAAGUAACGAUAAAGCGGGUGAAAAGCCCGCUCGCCGGAAGACCAAGGGUUCCUGUCCAACGUUAAUCGGGGCAGGGUGAGUCGACCCCUAAGGCGAGGCCGAAAGGCGUAGUCGAUGGGAAACAGGUUAAUAUUCCUGUACUUGGUGUUACUGCGAAGGGGGGACGGAGAAGGCUAUGUUAGCCGGGCGACGGUUGUCCCGGUUUAAGCAUGUAGGCUGGUUANNNNNNNNNNNNNNNNNNNNNNNNNNNNNNNNNNNNNNNNNNNNNNNNNNNNNNNNNNNNNNNNNNNNNNNNNNNNNNNNNNNNNNNNNNNNNUAUCAAGGCUGAGGUGUGAUGACGAGGCACUACGGUGCUGAAGUAACAAAUGCCCUGCUUCCAGGAAAAGCCUCUAAGCAUCAGGUAACAUCAAAUCGUACCCCAAACCGACACAGGUGGUCAGGUAGAGAAUACCAAGGCGCUUGAGAGAACUCGGGUGAAGGAACUAGGCAAAAUGGUGCCGUAACUUCGGGAGAAGGCACGCUGGUGUGUAGGUGAAGUCCCUGCGGAUGGAGCUGAGACCAGUCGAAGAUACCAGCUGGCUGCAACUGUUUAUUAAAAACACAGCACUGUGCAAACACGAAAGUGGACGUAUACGGUGUGACGCCUGCCCGGUGCCGGAAGGUUAAUUGAUGGGGUUAUCCGUAAGGAGAAGCUCUUGAUCGAAGCCCCGGUAAACGGCGGCCGUAACUAUAACGGUCCUAAGGUAGCGAAAUUCCUUGUCGGGUAAGUUCCGACCUGCACGAAUGGCGUAAUGAUGGCCAGGCUGUCUCCACCCGAGACUCAGUGAAAUUGAACUCGCUGUGAAGAUGCAGUGUACCCGCGGCAAGACGGAAAGACCCCGUGAACCUUUACUAUAGCUUGACACUGAACAUUGAGCCUUGAUGUGUAGGAUAGGUGGGAGGCUUUGAAGCGUGGACGCCAGUCUGCGUGGAGCCAACCUUGAAAUACCACCCUUUAAUGUUUGAUGUUCUAACGUUGGCCCCUGACCGGGGUUGCGGACAGUGUCUGGUGGGUAGUUUGACUGGGGCGGUCUCCUCCCAAAGCGUAACGGAGGAGCACGAAGGUUAGCUAAUCCUGGUCGGACAUCAGGAGGUUAGUGCAAUGGCAUAAGCUAGCUUGACUGCGAGCGUGACGGCGCGAGCAGGUGCGAAAGCAGGUCAUAGUGAUCCGGUGGUUCUGAAUGGAAGGGCCAUCGCUCAACGGAUAAAAGGUACUCCGGGGAUAACAGGCUGAUACCGCCCAAGAGUUCAUAUCGACGGCGGUGUUUGGCACCUCGAUGUCGGCUCAUCACAUCCUGGGGCUGAAGUAGGUCCCAAGGGUAUGGCUGUUCGCCAUUUAAAGUGGUACGCGAGCUGGGUUUAGAACGUCGUGAGACAGUUCGGUCCCUAUCUGCCGUGGGCGCUGGAGAAUUGAGGGGGGCUGCUCCUAGUACGAGAGGACCGGAGUGGACGCAUCACUGGUGUUCGGGUUGUCAUGCCAAUGGCACUGCCCGGUAGCUAAAUGCGGAAGAGAUAAGUGCUGAAAGCAUCUAAGCACGAAACUUGCCCCGAGAUGAGUUCUCCCUGAGACU
rnacentral:rRNA from 1 species